GGGAUGUAGAUGGAAAGGAGCUUCCAGAGUCUCUUCAGAUCAAAAGGUCCCUGCUACCCUGAUGACUGUGUCGUCACGCCCAACUGAACUACCGCUGCCUAACUUGGAAUUUGUUCCACAUAACAGGACAGGCUGUGGAAGCUGAGGUUUAAUGUGUGGCAGCAGAAAAUGCAGUGGGCUUAAACUUGGAUUCCUGGCACAGAUGUGAUGGCCCAGCACAGGUCUCCUCAGAGUGACCUGAAGGAAGAACAAGGGGGAAUACCAGUUAUCUGUCAUGAAAGAGGGAGGAAUAAGACAAGAGUCUCGGGCUGGAGAGAUGGCACAGCGGUCAAGAGCAUUGAUUGCUCUUCCAGAGGUCCUGAGUUCAAUUCCCAGCAACCACAUGGUGGCUCAUCUGUAAUGGGAUCUGAUGCCCUCUUCUUGUGUGUCUGAAGACAGCUACAGUGUAC
rnacentral:lncRNA from 1 species